UACAGAGGUCUCAAGCGUUGUUCGGAUUCAUUGGGCGUAAAGGGUGCGUAGGCGGCGCGGUAAGUCGGGUGUGAAAUCUCGGAGCUUAACUCCGAAACUGCAUUCGAUACUGCCGUGCUUGAGGACUGGAGAGGAGACUGGAAUUUACGGUGUAGCGGUGAAAUGCGUAGAUAUCGGGAGGAACACCGGUGGCGAAGGCGGUUCUCUGGGCCUGUACUGACGCUGAGGAGCGAAAGCGUGGGGAGCGAACAGG
rnacentral:rRNA from 1 species